GACAGAGGGUGCAAACGUUGUUCGGAAUUACUGGGCGUAAAGCGAGUGUAGGCGGUUUGGUAAGUCGGAUGUGAAAGCCCCGGGCUCAACCCGGGAAGUGCACUCGAUACUGCCAAGCUAGAGUAUCGGAGAGGUUGGUGGAAUUCUCGGUGUAGAGGUGAAAUUCGUAGAUAUCGAGAGGAACACCGGUGGCGAAGGCGGCUUUCUGGACGAUUACUGACGCUGAGACGCGAAAGCGUGGGGAGCAAACAGG
rnacentral:rRNA from 1 species